GCUAAAUAAUGAACUAGCACUCAGCUGAGCCCUCAAAGGUUAACACAUUGUUGUUAAUGUAGCCUCUCACACAAGGAAGCACAAACACGAGGGGGGGAGACUCUAUAACAGACAGAGACAGACACACCCC